UCUGCUCUUAGAGGCACUGCACAUGUGGUUGCUAUGUCACAUGUGCAUCGGUAGGUGGCAGAGAGGAAAGCAGCUAUGUCUAUGCUUAAUGUUCUAACCUAUUAACAUCUGAGUAACCAAUUUAACAUU